UACGGAGGAUCCAAGCGUUAUCCGGAUUUAUUGGGCGUAAAGGGCGCGUAGGCGGGAUGGCAAGUCGGUCGUGAAAUCCCUCGGCUCAACUGAGGAACGUCGAUCGAUACUGCCGUUCUUGAGGAUUGCAGAGGAGACUGGAAUUCCCGGUGUAGCGGUGAAAUGUGUAGAGAUCGGGAGGAACACCGGUGGCGAAGGCGGGUCUCUGGGCAAUUCCUGACGCUGAGGUGCGAAAGCGUGGGGAGCAAACGGG
rnacentral:rRNA from 1 species